UGAAGCUGGAAUCGCUAGUAAUCGCAGAUCAGAAUGCUGCGGUGAAUACGUUCCCGGGUCUUGUACACACCGCCCGUCACACCAUGGGAGUCAGUAACGCCCGAAGCCGGUGACCCAACCAAGAAUGGAGGGAGCCGUCGAAGGUGGGACCGAUAACUGAGGUGAAGUCGUAACAAGGUAUC
rnacentral:rRNA from 1 species